UACGUAGGGUGCAAGCGUUAAUCGGAAUUACUGGGCGUAAAGCGUGCGCAGGCGGUUUUGUAAGACAGAUGUGAAAUGCCCGGGCUUAACCUGGGAACUGCAUUUGGACUGCAAGGCUAGAGUGUGUCAGAGGGGGGUAGAAUUCCACGUGUAGCAGUGAAAUGCGUAGAUAUGUGGAGGAAUACCGAUGGCGAAGGCAGCCCCCUGGGAUAACACUGACGCUCAUGCACGAAAGCGUGGGGAGCAAACAGG
rnacentral:rRNA from 1 species